AAAUGCAUAGAACCAUUGCUGCGGUUAAAAAGCUCGUAGUUGGAUCUGUGCGGGCGACGUGGUCCACCCGAAAGGGCGGCACUGCGCUCGUCGGCUUUGGGCCGGUCUUCGUGCGGUCGCCUUCAUCGGUGGCCGUGCGUGGCUGGCUGGUUUACUUUGAGCAAAUCAGAGUGCUCAGCACAGGCGUUUCGCCGGCAUGUUCGUGCAUGGAAUAAUAGAAAAGGAUUUCGGUCCUCUUUUAUUGGUUUUGUGGACUGAGAUAAUGGUUAACAGAGACGAACGGGGGCAUUCGUAUUGCUGCGUGAGAGGUGAAAUUCUUGGACCGCAGCAGGACGGACUACAG
rnacentral:rRNA from 1 species